CACGGGGGGAGCAAGCGUUGUUCGGAAUCACUGGGCGUAAAGGGCGUGUAGGCGGUCAGGUAAGUGGAAUGUGAAAGCCCUCGGCUCACCCGAGGAUCUGCAUUCCAAACUGCCUGGCUUGAGUAUGGGAGAGGAUGAGGGAAUUCCUGGUGUAGCGGUGAAAUGCGUAGGUAUCAGGAGGAACACCGGUGGCGAAGGCGCUCAUCUGGCCCAAUACUGACGCUGAGGCGCGAAAGCUAGGGGAGCAAACGGG
rnacentral:rRNA from 1 species